rnacentral:rRNA from 1 species
UACGUAGGGGGCAAGCGUUGUCCGGAAUCAUUGGGCGUAAAGAGCGCGUAGGCGGUCCGGUAAGUCUGCUGUGAAAGUCAAAGGCUCAACCUUUGAAAGCCGGUGGAUACUGCCGGGCUAGAGUCCGGAAGAGGCGAGUGGAAUUCCUGGUGUAGCGGUGGAAUGCGCAGAUAUCAGGAGGAACACCAAUGGCGAAGGCAGCUCGCUGGGACGGUACUGACGCUGAGGCGCGAAAGCGUGGGGAGCAAACAGG